rnacentral:rRNA from 1 species
CAAUAGCGUAUAUUAAAGUUGUUGCAGUUAAAAAGCUCGUAGUUGGAUUUCUGGUGGGAGCGAUCGGUCUGGCGCUUAGCGCGAGUACUUGCAUCGUCUCCGGCCAUCCUUGGGGAGAGUCUGUCUGGCAUUAAGUUGUCGGGCAGAGGAUCCUCAUCGUUUACUGUGAAAAAAUUAGAGUGUUCAAAGCAGGCUUAUGCCGUUGAAUAUAUUAGCAUGGAAUAAUAAGAUAGGACUUUGGUACUAUUUUGUUGGUUUGCGCACCAAAGUAAUGAUUAAUAGGGACAGUUGGGGGUAUUCGUAUUCCGUUGUCAGAGGUGAAAUUCUUGGAUUUACGGAAGACGAACUACUGCGAAAGCAUUUACCAAGGACGUUUUCAUUAA